rnacentral:tRNA from 1 species
CCACGCCCAGCGAGUAGGGGCAGAUAUCCGUGAGGAUCACCUCUUCAACGUCUUCAUGGCGCAGGCGACAGGCGGC